ACUCUCCAGAUUCUUUGCCUAUCCGAUCUAAACAUUGAUCUGAGUGGCUAUAAAAGGAGGAACAGUUAAAAAUUUUAAAAAAAGA
rnacentral:snoRNA from 1 species